rnacentral:rRNA from 1 species
ACGAACGCUGGCGGCGUGCUUAACACAUGCAAGUCGAACGGAAAGGCCCUGCUUUUGUGGGGUGCUCGAGUGGCGAACGGGUGAGUAACACGUGAGUAACCUGCCCUUGACUUUGGGAUAACUUCAGGAAACUGGGGCUAAUACCGGAUAGGAGCUCCUGCUGCAUGGUGGGGGUUGGAAAGUUUCGGCGGUUGGGGAUGGACUCGCGGCUUAUCAGCUUGUUGGUGGGGUAGUGGCUUACCAAGGCUUUGACGGGUAGCCGGCCUGAGAGGGUGACCGGCCACAUUGGGACUGAGAUACGGCCCAGACUCCUACGGGGGGCAGCAGUGGGGAAUAUUGCACAAUGGGCGGAAGCCUGAUGCAGCAACGCCGCGUGCGGGAUGACGGCCUUCGGGUUGUAAACCGCUUUCGCCUGUGACGAAGCGUGAGUGACGGUAAUGGGUAAAGAAGCACCGGCUAACUACGUG